GUGAUUAAUCACUUGUGAGUGCAUAACCUAGCAUACCGAGCAAACCAAGGUGAGUUCACACAGCCAAGGCAUGGGUUCCCAGGGUGGGAAUGGGACCUUAGGUACUUAUGGAGCUUGCACUGGAGGAGCGGGACGUUGUGGGCAGUGGAUUAUGAACGCUAUGUUUAAACAUUUCGAAUAAUUGAACUUAUGGUUUACUUGGGUUAUUCACUUAUGCUUCCGCUACUGAUACUAUGUUUGUUUUGAAACAUCAAUUGUAUUGAAUGAGGUUUUACGAACUACUUUAUUUAUGU
rnacentral:lncRNA from 1 species